rnacentral:tRNA from 1 species
GGAGAGGUGGCCGAGUGGUCGAAGGCGCUCGCCUGCUAAGCGAGUGGACGGGAAACCGUUCCGAGGGUUCGAAUCCCUUCGUCUCCGCCA